CUUUCUCUGUCAAAAUUUCCCCGAGAAUUGAUAUUUUUCUUCUGAGUUGUUUUUUUUUUUGAAGAUUGCAAUAAAAUAUUUAGAAUUACAAUCUCCCAACUUAAUUAACUUAGCUCUUGCUUUUCGCUGAAUUGCAUUUUAUUCUGAGAGUGAUCAUUUUUCAAUUUGGUGUAUGCCAUUUUUCUCCUUCUCUUGCAAUG
rnacentral:lncRNA from 1 species